rnacentral:rRNA from 1 species
GACGAACGCUGGCGGCGUGCCUAAUACAUGCAAGUAGGACGCAGUUGCGAACGGGUGAGUAACGCGUAGGUAACUACCUAUUAGAGGGGGAUAACUAUUGGAGACGAUAGCUAAUACCGCAUACUAGUAGAUGGACCUGCGUUGUAUUAGCUAGUAGGUAGGGUAAUGGGCUACCUAGGCAACGAUACAUAGACGACCUUGGAAGGUGAUCGGCCAAAACGGGACUGGGGCACGGGCCAAACCCCUACCGGAGGCAGCAGUAGGGAAUCUUCGGCAAUGGGGGGAACCCUGACCGAGCAACGCCGCGUGAGUGAAGAAGGUUUUCGGAUCGUAAAGCUCUGUUGUUAAGGGAGCGGUACUUAACCAGAAAGGGACGGCUAACUACGUGCCAGCAGCCGCGGUAAUAC